GACGAACGCUGGCGGCGCGCUUAACACAUGCAAGUCGAACGGAAAGGCCUGCUUUCCCUUGUGGAUUGCGGGUACUCGAGUGGCGAACGGGUGAGUAACACGUGAGUGAUCUGCCCCCAACUUGGGUAUAAGCCUGGGAAACUGGGUCUAAUUCCCGAUAGGACUGCAGGGUGGUGCCUGUGGUGGAAAACGAUUUUCUAGUGGUUGGGGAUGAGCUCGCGGCCUAUCAGCUUGUUGGUGGGGUAAUGGCCUACCAAGGCGGCGACGGGUAGCCGGCCUGGGAGGGUGGACGGCCACAUUGGGACUGAGAUACGGCCCAGACUCCUACGGGAGGCAGCAGUGGGGAAUAUUGCACGAUGGGCGGAAGCCUGAUGCAGCGACGCCGCGUGGGGGAUGACGGCCUUCGGGUUGUAAACUCCUUUCGACCGCGAGGAAGCCACCUGGUUGGAAGGGUGGUGACGGUAGUGGUAGAAGAAGCACCGGCUAACUACGUG
rnacentral:rRNA from 1 species